rnacentral:lncRNA from 1 species
GGUCAUGCAAAAUCCUAACCUUACUAUUUUGCACCUAUAAAAUCUCAAGAUACAUCUGCUACUACUGUUGGUGAUGGAAGGAUUAAGAGUAAAGAAGAAAGGAGUUGAGGUACAUUCAAGAUUGAACAACAACAUUGACUUGGAGCUGCGACUAUGUAGGAGUAUGAGAUCUCUAAGAACGUAGUAGUGAGGUUUUUUCAAGAAAAUCCUUCAGAACUUUCCUGUAUUUUGGUAACUUAUAAGUCAAGAAACUCAUUUAACUUUGGUUUUAAUAAUAGGCCGGUCCAAAUAGUUCAUUAUGAAUUAACAAAUCAAUUAAUUCACUUCAAUUUAAAUGGACAUUACAAAUUUAAUUUAAUUUAAUAGUCCGUAUAAUAUUGAUCCAAUUCGUUAGUCCAAAAUAUAAUGGACUUUCAUAAUUAAAUUUAAUCAAGAUCAACUCAGUUUGUUUAAUUUUGACUAAAUAAAUUAAAUAAAUUUUCUUUUUCUACACACGUGCCAUAAAGGUGCUGAGUUUUAGUACUAAUACAUCUAACCCAAAUAAACAUCAUGCUUAUGAUCAUACCCGCUAGGCUCCGGAUGGUCAUUUUGUUGAUCUCCAUUUGUGCCACUUUGAAGUCAGCAAGGAGUUUCAGCAAGUAACACUAUACUCUCCAAUCCAAAUCCCUAGACAUUCCUAAAACUCUUUUGUUUCUUUUAAACAAAGGGAAACAUCAUUCAAUUAUCCCGUAAAAAUAUCUAGUAUGAAGUAAUUCCAGCAAAUUUGAUACUCCACCAAAACAGUGGAUAGAACUUUACACAGUGGUGCUGAUGGAAACAAUCGGAAGUGAUAGUUACAGGGCCUAAUCAACUUCUUUCAUCCCAAAAGCUUUUCCCUGAACCAGUGGAAGAGAAGUUUGUUGACUAUCCAUUAGUC